UCAGAGAGUUGAUCCUGGCGUAGGACGAACGCUGGCGGCGUGCUUAACACAUGCAAGUCGAGCGAUGAAGCUUCUUCGGAAGUGGAUAGCGGCGGACGGGUGAGUAACACGUGGGUAACCUGCCUCAUAGAGGGGAAUAGCCUUUCGAAAGGAAGAUUAAUACCGCAUAAGAUUGUAGUGCCGCAUGGUACAGCAAUUAAAGGAGUAAUCCGCUAUGAGAUGGACCCGCGUCGCAUUAGCUAGUUGGUGAGGUAACGGCUCACCAAGGCGACGAUGCGUAGCCGACCUGAGAGGGUGAUCGGCCACAUUGGGACUGAGACACGGCCCAGACUCCUACGGGAGGCAGCAGUGGGGAAUAUUGCACAAUGGGGGAAACCCUGAUGCCAGCAACGCCGCGUGAGUGAUGACGGUCUUCGGAUUGUAAAGCUCUGUCUUUAGGGACGAUAAUGACGGUACCUAAGGAGGAAGCCACGGCUAACUACGUGCCAGCCGCGGC
rnacentral:rRNA from 1 species